UAGUCCACGCCGUAAACGGUGGGCACUAGAUGUGGGGACUUUCAACGGUUUCCGUGUCGUAGCUAACGCAUUAAGUGCCCCGCCUGGGGAGUACGGCCGCAAGGCUAAAACUCAAAGGAGUUGACGGGGCCCGCACAAGCAGCGGAGCAUGUUGCUUAAUUCGAGGCAACGCGAAGAACCUUACCUAGGUUUGACAUGUACGGAAAAGCCAUAGAGAUAUGGUGUCCUUCGGGGGCCGUACACAGGUGGUGCAUGGCUGUUGUCAGCUCGUGUCGUGAGAUGUUGGGUUAAGUCCCGCAACGAGCGCAACCCUCGUUCUAUGUUGCUAACACGUAAUGGUGAGGACUCAUAGGAGACUGCCGGGGUCAACUCGGAGGAAGGUGGGGAUGGACGUCAAGUCAUCAUGCCCCUUAUGCCUAGGGGCUGGCAAACAUGCUACAAUGGUCGGUACAACGGGGCUGCGACACCGCGAGGGUGAAGCGAAUCCCUUAAAGCC
rnacentral:rRNA from 1 species